rnacentral:rRNA from 1 species
CCUACGGGUGGCAGCAGUCGAGAAUCAUUCACAAUGGGGGAAACCCUGAUGGUGCGACGCCGCGUGGGGGAAUGAAGGUCUUCGGAUUGUAAACCCCUGUCAUGUGGGAGCAAAUUAAAAAGAUAGUACCACAAGAGGAAGAGACGGCUAACUCUGUGCCAGCAGCCGCGGUAAUACAGAGGUCUCAAGCGUUGUUCGGAAUCACUGGGCGUAAAGCGUGCGUAGGCUGUUUCGUAAGUCGUGUGUGAAAGGCGCGGGCUCAACCCGCGGACGGCACAUGAUACUGCGAGAAUAGAGGAAUGGAGGGGGAGCCGGAAUUCUCGGUGUAGCAGUGAAAUGCGUAGAUAGCGAGAGGAACACUCGUGGCGAAGGCGGGUUCCUGGACAUUAACUGACGCUGAGGCACGAAGGCCAGGGGAGCGAAAGGGAUUAGAUACCCGGGUAGUC